AUACGUAGGGUGCGAGCGUUAAUCGGAAUUACUGGGCGUAAAGCGUGCGCAGGCGGCUUUAUAAGCCAGAUGUGAAAUCCCCGGGCUCAACCUGGGAACUGCAUUUGGAACUGUAAGGCUAGAGUACGGCAGAGGGGAGUAGAAUUCCACGUGUAGCAGUGAAAUGCGUAGAUAUGUGGAGGAAUACCGAUGGCGAAGGCAGCCCCCUGGGUCGAUACUGACGCUCAUGCACGAAAGCGUGGGGAGCAAACAGGAUUAGAAACCCUAGUAGUCC
rnacentral:rRNA from 1 species